ensembl:lncRNA
AAAAAUAAAAUAAAAAUAAAAAUAAUAAUUAUAAUAAGAAUAAUCCUUAGAAAAACAAUAGGGCCCUGCGCCCAUUGGCUCGGGCCCUAAAUAUAGCUGCAAGCAGCGAUGGCGGGCUCAAGCCAUCAGCGCAAACGCCACCCCGGUGGCAUCAGGUAAACUGUGCCCAGCGGGCACAUGCAUUUACAGUAAUCCUCUGGCACUCAGGUUUUAAGGGAUACGGCAAUU